CCUACGGGGGGCAGCAGUGGGGAAUAUUGCACAAUGGGGGAAACCCUGAUGCAGCGACGCCGCGUGAGUGAAGAAGUAUUUCGGUACGUAAAGCUCUAUCAGCAGGGAAGAAAAUGACGGUACCUGACUAAGAAGCCCCGGCUAACUACGUGCCAGCAGCCGCGGUAAUACGUAGGGGGCAAGCGUUAUCCGGAUUUACUGGGUGUAAAGGGAGCGUAGACGGCAACGCAAGUCUGGAGUGAAAUCCCAUGGCUUAACCAUGGAACUGCUUUGGAAACUGUGCAGCUAGAGUGCAGGAGAGGUAAGCGGAAUUCCUAGUGUAGCGGUGAAAUGCGUAGAUAUUAGGAGGAACACCAGUGGCGAAGGCGGCUUACUGGAAUGUAACUGACGUUGAGGCUCGAAAGCGUGGGGAGCAAACAGGAUUAGAUACCCCUGUAGUC
rnacentral:rRNA from 1 species